GAUGAACGCUGGCGGCGUGCCUAAUACAUGCAAGUCGAGCGAACAGACGAGGAGCUUGCUCCUCUGACGUUAGCGGCGGACGGGUGAGUAACACGUGGAUAACCUACCUAUAAGACUGGGAUAACUUCGGGAAACCGGAGCUAAUACCGGAUAACAUGUUGAACCGCAUGGUUCAACAGUGAAAGACGGUCUUGCUGUCACUUAUAGAUGGAUCCGCGCCGCAUUAGCUAGUUGGUAAGGUAACGGCUUACCAAGGCAACGAUGCGUAGCCGACCUGAGAGGGUGAUAGGCCACACUGGAACUGAGACACGGUCCAGACUCCUACGGGAGGCAGCAGUAGGGAAUCGUCCGCAAUGGGCGAAAGCCUGACGGAGCAACGCCGCGUGAGUGAAGAAGGUCUUCGGAUCGUAAAACUCUGUUAUUAGGGAAGAACAAAUGUGUAAGUAACUAUGCACGUCUUGACGGUACCUAAUCAGAAAGCCACGGCUAACUACGUG
rnacentral:rRNA from 1 species